rnacentral:rRNA from 1 species
AACGCUAGCUACAGGCUUAACACAUGCAAGUCGAGGGGAAACGACAUCGAAAGCUUGCUUUUGAUGGGCGUCGACCGGCGCACGGGUGAGUAACGCGUAUCCAACCUGCCCACCACUUGGGGAUAACCUUGCGAAAGUAAGACUAAUACCCAAUGAUAUCCCACGAAGGCAUCCGAAUGGGAUUAAAGAUUUAUCGGUGAUGGAUGGGGAUGCGUCUGAUUAGCUUGUUGGCGGGGUAACGGCCCACCAAAGCAACGAUCAGUAGGGGUUCUGAGAGGAAGGUCCCCCACAUUGGAACUGAGACACGGUCCAAACUCCUACGGGAGGCAGCAGUGAGGAAUAUUGGUCAAUGGGCGAGAGCCUGAACCAGCCAAGUAGCGUGCAGGACGACGGCCCUAUGGGUUGUAAACUGCUUUUAUAAGGGAAUAAAGUGGGUCACGUGUGACUUUUUGCAUGUACCUUAUGAAUAAGGACCGGCUAAUUCCGUGCCAGCAGCCGCGGUAAUACGGAAGGUCCGGGCGUUAUCCGGAUUUAUUGGGUUUAAAGGGAGCGUAGGCCGGAGAUUAAGCGUGUUGUGAAAUGUAGUGGCUCAACCUCUGCACUGCAGCGCGAACUGGUCUUCUUGAGUACGCACAACGUGGGCGGAAUUCGUGGUGUAGCGGUGAAAUGCUUAGGUAUCACGAAGAACUCCGAUUG